rnacentral:lncRNA from 1 species
GGACUCCAUUUUGAAUUUCAUGGCUUCUAGCUACUUAUCGGAGUUAGACCUCUGCAUUGCAUCUAUGUAGAUGAUCAAAUCCUCAUUGUUCUUAUUGAGUUCAAUAAGAUCACUAUCCCGAACUAAGAAAUUGUAGUAUCUGUCCAGCUGAUGUGGUACUCUAUCGGAUCUCCUUAAUGUUGCAUCUACAAUGAAUUUCAGAUUUGAUCUAAUCAAGUCUGACUCUAUGGUUCACUAGAUUGUGUCGAUUCUUCUAUCGAUCAAAUUUUAUCAAGUUCGACUUUAGUGGCAUUAGUUCCUUCUCCAAGGAACUUCUUUUCAAAAUGACUACCCAAUUAUUGAUGAACACCUUUUGUUCAUCAACAUGGAAGAAGUAAUAUCCUUUAGUCUCUUUUGAGUACCUAAUAAAUUGACACUUAUAAAGUCUAGGUCCAAACUUAUCUAUUUUCAAAUGCUUGACAUAAGUUGGACAACCCCAAACCCUA